rnacentral:ncRNA from 1 species
UCCACCGCGAGGUGGAAUCUGAAGGAAGCGGCGGACAAACUGUUGAAUCGACGAACAGAAAUAUGAUACAGCAUUUAUAUGCUUCAGAUCUGUCAGCUUC